ensembl:lncRNA
UGGAGCUUCAUGUAGUUAGUUUGUCUCAUCAUUCAUACAGAUACUUGGAUUUACUUUAGUGAGGGCUGGAAGUGCUAUUUGGCUAGAAGAGUGUCUCAUUGUCUGAAUGAAAUCUGAACCUUCAAAGAAAGGAGAGCAGCAAGGAAUGGACUUGGCUGAGGACUGGCUGUGAGAUAUGGGGCUCUGCAACUCCCAGGUUCCAUCCAGUAAAGUUAAUAGAAAUCACAUGGGUUGCUUGCCAUCUGGCAACCAGUUGGAAGCCUGGGCACAUGGUGUCAGUGAGUCUUUACUAUCAAGUUACAAGUCAAGUGACUUCAUUAGCUUUAAGGAGAAUCUGGAGAGCAGCUCCCAGCCUGCCAGGAUCCUGAGCAGCUACAGCGAGCUGACUGCAUGUAAGACAGCCUGUUAGAUGAAUGAGAUGGCUCUCCCUCUCUUCUUCUCUGCCCCUGCAUUUUCCUCCCAAAGGCCCAGCAUAUUUCAGCAACUUGGAUGCAGUGGAGCAUCUGGAAGGGAC